rnacentral:rRNA from 1 species
GACGGAGGGUGCAAACGUUGUUCGGAAUCACUGGGCCUAAAGAGCACGUAGGCUGCGCGCUAAGUCAGGUGUGAAAUCCCCCGGCUCAACCGGGGAACUGCUCCUGAUACUGGCGUGCUCGAGGACGGUAGGGGUGAGUGGAACUCCAGGUGGAGCGGUGAAAUGCGUAGAUAUCCGGAGGAACACCGGUGGCGAAAGCGGCUCACUGGACCGUCUCUGACGCUGAGGUGCGAAAGCUAGGGUAGCAAACGGG